rnacentral:rRNA from 1 species
AUGGCACCCAAGAAGGGCCAAGAUAAGCUGGAGAAGGUAGUCAACCCAGAAGCAGAGGCAAGGAAGGAGGAGAUGGCGGCACUGCGGAGGGAUAAUAUCGUCUUUGCGCCGGCCUUGAAUCACAUCGACAUGGUGGAGCAGUACGCAUACAUGUGGGGGAAGGAGACGACGGCUACACUGCGCCCCACGUUCUUCCCGGCACCACCAAAUCUGGCAAAGAUAAAUAUCCCUUUAUCACCGCAUAUUUCUAUUGCGGGCUUGUUCCUCCCUUCUCUGAUUUCUUUUCAGAGAUCAUGUAUACAUAUGGGUUCCGCCACUUAG